rnacentral:rRNA from 1 species
UCAGCCGCCGCGGUAAUACCAGCUCUCCGAGUGGUGUGGACGUUUAUAGGGCCUAAAGCGUCCGUAGCUGGCUGAACAAGUCCCCUGUUAAACCCACCGAUUUAAUCGUUGGCGUGCGGGGGAUACUGCUUGGCUAGGGGACGAGAGAGGCAGACGGUAUUCCCGGGGUAGGGGUGAAAUCCUAUAAUCCCGAGAAGACCACCAGUGGCGAAGGCUGUCUGCUAGAACGCGCCCGACGGUGAGGGAUGAAAGCUGGGGGAGCGAACCGGAUUAGAUACCCGGGUAGUCCCAGCUGUAAACGAUGCAGACUAGGUGUUUGGACGGCCACGUGCCGUUCUAGUGCCGCAGGGAAGCUGUCAAGUCUGCCGCCUGGGGAGUACGAUCGCAAGGUUGAAACUUAAAGGAAUUGGCGGGGGAGCACA